rnacentral:lncRNA from 1 species
CUUUGAACUAUUUCGGGGGCACCAUUUUCUUCUUCUCGCUGAUAUAUAAGGCGAACCCCACAUUCUUUUACAUGUAAACCAGAUGCCAUUUCCACUAAAAUAUGUACUUCAUCAUCACCUUCCAGCUGAUCUCCUAAUGUCCAGUAGCUUAACCAUAGCAUAUCUUCAUAGGGUUUUGGAAUCCCAUAGAAGUUUGGGCUGUAUGUCCAUUUUACACCUUUGGUUUUGUUGUUGGUUUUAAUGCAAUUGUCAUCUAUAUAUCCACCAUCUCCACGAUUGCUGUAUGCUACACAUAAACUCAAGCCUUUGAUUUUUUGACCAGAGACUGCUUGGAUAUCAAAAGAUAUUGCAGGACUCUCACUUUUUAGGUUAAACCACUCUGGAACUCUAUUCCCAGGAAGAAAUACACUGAAUAUUCCACAUUCAUGCAGUACCUAUGCAAUAGGAGCUAGAAUUAGUACUUAUACUACUAAUGCAUUUGGUUACAUUACAUUUGGAGCAAUAGAUAUUUACCUGAAUAUUUGUCUUCAUUUCUGUGCAUGCCAAAGCAUUUGAUAUUUCCACUUCAAUUUCUUUCAAAGAUUCCAAAUCGAUUAACCCCAUAUCCUUAAGUAUUUCUUUGUUGAUGUUUCCUACUGGUUCUAAUCUGAAUAAGCCUUGAACCUCAACCAGUUUAUCGCAACCAAAAAUUUCCAGGUUUAAUGAUUUCAACAAGUUUGGCAGAUUUGUAAUUCUUUCCAAUGAUGUGCAGUCUUCUAGCUUCAAGGAGUUCAAACUUGUUGGAAGCUCAGGAAGGGAAUGUAGGCUUGUGCAUCGGUCUAAUACGAGGGAAUCAAGCAUAACAAGGCUGUUAAUGCUCUCUGGAAGGCAAUGGAUUGGGUUUCCACUUAGGUUUAAGUACUCUAAAGAAGGUAGGCAGUUAAGAUCUUCAGGAAUAACAUUAUCUGAUAUUCUGCACUCUGCAAGACUUAAACUUAUUAAAAAUCUUGGUAAAAAUGCUAGUGAAAAAUUGUUUGAUUUUGCCCAUCUUUUCUGUAACAGCCAAGACCAAGAAGUUGAACGCCACAAUGACAGAUUUUCAUUCAAAUCUUUAUUGCUGGAUUUUCCUUGAUUUAUGGCAAUGCCGUCUGCGUGCAGUAUUUUUAAUGAUUGCAACUUCAC